AUCCUUCUGGUUCAGUCACGUGAUGAGUGGGUCACUCACGCGUCUGCGUGACAUGUGCCGUCCCUUCAAGUUACGACUUGGGCACAGAACCCGUCUGACA